rnacentral:SRP_RNA from 2 species
GCCAGGCGUGGUGGCGUGCGCCUGUAGUCCCAGCUACUCAGGAGGCUGAGGCAGGAGAAUCGCUUGAACCCGGGAGGCGGAGGCUGCAGUGAGCCAAGAUCGUGCCACUGUAGUCCAGCCUGGGCAACAAAGUGAGACUCCGUCUCAG